rnacentral:rRNA from 1 species
AUACGGAGGGUGCAAGCGUUGUCCGGAAUUACUGGGCGUAAAGGAUGCGUAGGUGGAUAUUUAAGUGGGAUGUGAAAUCCCCGGGCUCAACCCGGGAACUGCAUUCCAAACUGGAUGUCUAGAGUGCAGGAGAGGAAAGCGGAAUUCCUAGUGUAGGAGUGAAAUCCGUAGAUAUUAGGAGGAACACCGGUGGCGAAGGCGGCUACCUGGACCGAUACUGAUGCUGAGACGCGAAAGCGUGGGGAGC